AAAGAAAAAUAAUUAAAAAAAAACUUCAUGAAAUAUCGAUGUUUGACUGCUUCCAUUUCUUUCAGCUUAUUUGGUUCAUUUUGGUCAGGAAGGAUUUUACAUCAAAUUGAAUCUAAUCGAUUCCCUCUUUAAGAUUCUAAAUGUAAUUUUAAAUCAAUAAAGCACAAUUACAAUUACAAUCACUUUGUGUCUAUUUAGGAAAUUUAAGUGCGUCUGGCAUCCCGGUGAAAUCGAAAAGAGAAACGUCAAAAGCAGUCCGGAUUUUGUUUUUUUUUCUCGUUGUUUUGAUUGAACGUCGUCCUGAUUUCGAGAAUGCGCCCCGAAGUCCGCCGUGCCGGACAUCCAACAUCUGAUGGGCGGCUCUUGCCAUGUCCUGCAGCACGUCUCAACGGCCAUUGGUCGAUCGAUCUCGACCCCCGAACCGAUUGCGCUGACACGACAGCAACAGUCAAAUCUGUCCGGCUUCAGUGAUGCGCACCACAGAGACGGAGCGUCCACAAUUAGUGUACUUCUCUGUAAACUCUGACAUUGACGCCGUUCGGGAAAAUCACGCAGUAGAACCUAACACCAUUGGAGAGCUCCUACAAUCUGCCCGCCAGUAUGUUUGCACCUUCGGCGCGAAAGCAGCAUGAACAGAGUUCGCUGAAGAAAAAAUGGAACGAUUCCGAGUCCAUCGAAGAAAGUCCCCCUGACGAACGACACAGGUUAACGAUCGAAUCGAUAAUUAAAGACUGUAGCCACAAUCAAUGAAAACGAAGAUGCAGUGCAGGAACAAAUCGAAAUAACGAUCCAAUAUGGCAGAGCGCAAUGGUCUGAAUCUAUCCGAAUAUGAGGAAACAUUUUCAUUCCUUGAAUUACACAUCCGUACCUACACCUUUUGUAACCGGGAGCGCACCUGAACGCGAAUUACCCGGCAGAAUUUUAUUGGAACUGACUAGUGACAGUAUCAGUAUCAAACAGUAGCAUGGAAAAUGUCUGAUGCAAUUUUCAAAAUUCGAUACAGUAAUUUUUUAAUAUAUACUUUGUAAAUAUUUAAAAAAAAUCUGUCCGUUAAUGUAUUAAUAUUAAUUUUUGGUUUCGUUACACUGUGACUUAUGCUACGAUUGUGCCAUAAAUUUAAUUAA